rnacentral:rRNA from 1 species
UACGGGGGAGGCAAGCGUUAUCCGGAAUCAUUGGGCGUAAAGCGUCCGUAGGCGGUUAACCAAGUCUUUUGUCAAAGCGCGGGGCUUAACUUCGUAACAGCAGAGGAAACUGGUGAACUGGGGUGCGGUAGGGGUAGAGGGAAUUCCCAGUGUAGCGGUGAAAUGCGUAGACAUUGGUAAGAAAACCGGUGGCGAAAACGCACUACUGGGCCUGCACUGUCACUGAGGGACGAGAGCUAAGGGAGCGAAAGGG